CGCCCGUUGGCAGCUUCUCCUGCUGCCGUCAAGUUAAAGGCCUCCAGCUGCCCCGGGAGAAACGUGCCCUCCGCCUCCUGUCUGGGCUCCUCUGGCCUCCUGGUCCCCAAGGCCUCUUUGCCUCCCGCGUGUCUGGACCCAACCCAGCCCUCUUCCUCCUCUUGUCUCCAGGCGGCUUGGCCGUGUGAAUGCGGAGGGGAGACCAGACUGGAAAGAGAAGGCCUGUUAUUUCAUGGAGCAGAGACAAGCAACACCUUGGAGGAAAGGAGGAUGCUACUCCAGCCAUUGACAGCUGUACACCCUCAUCCGUGGGGCGCCCAUCAGAACUCUCGACCUUCCUUCAGUGUAACAGAUGCCGAUCUUGCCAGUCACGGUGCUUGGUUGCCAAAACCUCCUUUAAAAAGUGUGUUCAGAUCCCUGCUCAAUGUGUUAUAUGGAUGGCAAGAUAAACACUCAACACUGGAUCCACAGACUACAAGCUAUUAAGAAGAAGAGAUGAAGCAAUGUUAACUAUGUUGUUAAUAAGCUUAUUUCCCCUCAUCUGUAAGAAAAAGAUGAUAUUCAUUGUAGUUUUUUCUAGGCUUACCAUCAUAACUUUACAUUACUGAUCUCUCUCUAAACUGGCCCAUGUAUGAGGAGUUCCAUAAUUUUACAUUCUGAGCAAUUUAUCAAAUCAGGUUCAUUUGCAGAUGAGAGCUUCUCAAAAUGAACAUCACAGUGUUCAAGUUAUUUACAUCUGAUUUGUGAUGAGAUCUUCAGAUCUUGCCUGAGAGUUAUUCUGGAUUUUCUGACACAAUUCUGAAUUCACGCAAUUUAAAAUUUACCCAUUAAAGUGAUUCACUAACCAUAUAAUAAAAAGAUGAAUAUUGAUGUAAAUUAGUGCAUAACUCAGAAAAAGUCCAUUGUUAGUAUUCUGAGAUUUGGUUUCAAAAUGGCCAUGAUGAUUCUAUAAUAAAUUGACAAA